UGGGGAAUUUUGGACAAUUGGGCGAAAGCCUGAUCCAGCAAUGCCGCGUGUGUGAAGAAGGCCUUCGGGUUGUAAAGCACUUUUUGUCCGGAAAGAAAUCCUUGGCUCUAAUACAGUCGGGGGAUGACGGUACCGGAAGAAUAAGCACCGGCUAACUACGUGCCAGCAGCCGCGGUAAUACGUAGGGUGCAAGCGUUAAUCGGAAUUACUGGGCGUAAAGCGUGCGCAGGCGGUUUGCUAAGACCGAUGUGAAAUCCCCGGGCUCAACCUGGGAACUGCAUUUGGUGACUGGCAGGGCUAGAGUAUGGCAGAGGGGGGUUAGAAUUCCACGUGUAGCAGUGAAAUGCGUAGAGAUGUGGAGGAAUACCGAUGGCGAAGGCAGCCCCCC
rnacentral:rRNA from 1 species